rnacentral:misc_RNA from 1 species
UUGAAUGAACUUGGUGUGGUUGUUGCUGGCCCUCUCGGGGGCAUGUGCACACCCGCCAUCCUCAUCUCUCCACCUGUGCACCUCUUGUAGACCUGGAUAGACUUUCCGAGGCAACUCGGUCGGGAAGAUUGCUGCGCUCUGUGAGCCAGCUUUCUUUGCAUGUCCAGGCCUAUGUUUUUCAUAUACCCCUAUAGAAUGUAACAGAAUGUAUCAUUGGGCCUUGUGCCUAUAAACCUUAUA